AGCGAACGCUGGCGGCAGGCCUAAAACAUGCAAGUCGAACGCCGUAGCAAUACGGAGUGGCAGACGGGUGAGUAACACGUGGGAACGUACCCUUUGGUUCGGAACAACACAGGGAAACUUGUGCUAAUACCGGAUAAGCCCUUACGGGGAAAGAUUUAUCGCCAAAAGGAUCGGCCCGCGUCUGAUUAGCUAGUUGGUGG
rnacentral:rRNA from 1 species